UAUGCUAAAUUACAAAUUUACCCUCUUUAUAGUAUUAUACUGGAAAAAUGUAUUUGCUUAAUGCUGUAAUAUAUAGCACUGGAAUGCUCAACAGAGGUCAUACAGUUUACAAUUUUGAUUUUGGGUAAAAUCUAUUCUAUGGGUAUAAAAAUGCUAUGGAAUUUGCAGUGGUGCACACUUCAUAUACAGUACUUGUAUUAAAGUCCAAUCUAAUAGUAUAGAUGCUAUCAAAUGUGGUUGAUAAAGAUCUUUAGAGCAGCAACACACAUUUCUUUAGUUUAUUAUUGACUUUGCUCUGUUUUGGAAAUGAUUACAGGUAUAUGAAUGUGUUAAUAUAUCUGAUAUACGGUAUCUAUAGUCCUAUAAAAUACGCAUAUUAAUGAACAUACAACACUAAAGGUGCCCUCAAAAUUUUAUUCUUCUGUUGUUUAUAUCUUCCCAGUAAGAAAGAAAGAAAAAAAGAAAGACAGAAACUUUCACAAAACAAUACAAAUAACCGACACAACACCACAUUACAAACACCUCCUAAAAAUACACAUUUUUUUGUCCAAAUGUCCAACUAAAUAAAUAUGCGUUGUUAUCAGUAAUUACAUUGAUUCUUGGAUUUAUUAGUACUGACAUAAACUGCCUAAAAGCAACAGUAUCUAAAAAUCAAAUAAACCUUACACAUCAGUCAGACUACUAGUCCUUACAUAGCCACCUAAUUAGUAAUAAACUAAUUAGUCAUCAGCCAUUUAAUAGCAUGUACAGCAGAUGGCAGUGUUCACUCAGAUUACAGAUGAUUUGAAUUUUCACUUCGUGUAACAUUUGAUUCGAAAUAUAGGGGAAAACAAAUAAAGAAAUGACCUGAAAUGACUACAGUGGAUUAAAACUAUACAUGACUAAGACUUUAUGAUAUGAUGCUCUGAAUAUAUGCAUGCAUAAUGCCGCCGCAAAAUGUGAAUAACCAGAAAGCUUAGCAGAAGGUCAAGCAGUCAUACAUUGCGUUUCAGAUAAAUAUACAAAAUGUACAUAUCCAAAAUUUCUAAAGUUUGAUGUAACAAAUUAUAUAGAUUUCACAAAUCAUUAUGUCUUGUGAUUGGACUGUUACUUGUAAAUCUAGUGGUAGUACUAAUGUUUUUACAUAUAUUAUCAAAAGUUACAAAAGAAAAACAUUGAUAAACAUCUACUAAAGACACAGACGCUGGUCUUAAAGAUUGUAGGUCAAGGAAAUGCUGUACAGACAUUGAUCUGACUGAGAGGGUGGAGCUUCGUUGUGUAUGAAUGCAUCUCAUAAAAGUGGAGGUGAAACGGUCAUCUUGAACCAUUAUGUUUAUCUUCACACUUAUUAGUGUAUGGAUUAAUCGGGGUGACACAGGGGCAAAUGCGAUCUUCCCAUUAUCUUCUAGCAUAAGCACUGUUGUUAAUGGAAAUGUAACCUUAUUUUGCAGUUACAAUGGAUUUUUCUGGAAAUGUGCUCGGUGUGGAGUGGUACAAACAAUAUCCAAGAUCAAAACCUCAGUUCUUCAUUAGAUUCUAUCAACAUGGACAUCUGACAGGGCCAACUCCAACCCUUUUACCACACUUUUUUAGCUAAAACUGAUGGAAGAUCUCCAACAAUCUCACGUUGCAUUAUGUUACUUGGAUAGAUUCAGCGGUGUACUACUGCGCAGUGAUGACCACAGUCACAGGAAACCUAGAGGUUCCUAUACAAAAAUAUCAUUUACUUCAGAAUGAAGGUCUUUCGUGUGACAAUUAAAACAUCUUCCUCUUCUCUUUUGGAGAUGAAACAAUGUUACAUUUAAUGAAUUAUAUCAAUAGCAUUUCUCUCUUUUAUAAUCUAUAGCAGGUAUCUACACACGGCACAGUUUACAGAAGGCCUUAUAGUUUAAGAUAAUGUGGAUGAUUUUACUUAUGUUAUUUGUAAUUAAAACAUAAUAAUUGCAAUACAGUGACAAACAAUUGCCUUACAUCUGUAUCCACUAUUCAUUUCUCAAAAUCAACAGCUCCCAGAAUCCUUUGGGUGGAGCUUGGUGAGAAUGCAUACAGCAGAAGGCAGUGCUUUGUUACUACAAUCUUAUUUCGCAGAUGAUCUCCCACAGUCAUAAUGAUUUUGUUUUACUUAAAUGUUUUUGCACUUCUAACAGAGAGUGUUUCCACGAAUGCAAUAACAUCCCUCUCUACUGAAAAUCAUGCUUUAGAAGGAGAAAAAGCGACUCUUUCAUGCAACUACAGCGGAAAUAACAUACAGAGUCUUCAGUGGUACAGACAGUAUUCCAACACUGCCCCUGAAUUUCUCCUGCAAGACUGGGAAACUCAAGGUUCAGAGCAGAAGGGCCGUUAUGUUGCUGAAGCGCAAAAAGUCAAAGAACAUCUGAAACUGGAGAUCUCUAAAACUGAAGUGGAAGAUGCUGCAAUAUACUACUGUGCCCUGGUGCCCACAGUAACAGGAAACACUUCAGCACUGUACAAAAACAUGAGAGCAUGAGGAGUACA